rnacentral:rRNA from 1 species
GAUUGGCUCAGGAUGAACGCUAGCUACAGGCUUAACACAUGCAAGUCGAGGGGCAGCGAGAGAAAGCUGCUUCCUGUCGGCGACCGGCGCACGGGUGAGUAACGCGUAUCCAACCUUCCCCAUAGUAGAGGAUAGCCCGGCGAAAGUCGGAUUAAUACUCUAUGUUGUGUCAUGAGGACAUCUGAAUAACACUAAAGAUUUAUCGCUAUGGGAUGGGGAUGCGUCUGAUUAGGUAGUCGGCGGGGUAACGGCCCACCGAGCCGACGAUCAGUAGGGGUUCUGAGAGGAAGGUCCCCCACAUUGGUACUGAGACACGGACCAAACUCCUACGGGAGGCAGCAGUGAGGAAUAUUGGUCAAUGGACGAGAGUCUGAACCAGCCAAGUAGCGUGCAGGAAUGACUGCCCUAUGGGUUGUAAACUGCUUUUAUGCGGGAAUAAAGUCAGGUACGUGUACCUGUUUGUAUGUACCGCAUGAAUAAGGACCGGCUAAUUCCGUGCCAGCAGCAGC